ACUGGAUUACGAAUAUCUGCGCAAGCUUCUGAAGGAUCGCUCCGGCCUGCUGUUGUCGUCCGACAAGCAGUAUCUGAUCGAAAGCCGUCUGUUGCCGCUCGCCCGCAAGGCGGGCAUUUCGGGCAUCAGCGAACUUGUGCAGAAGAUNGUCCGGUGCGGAGGCGCUGACCGUCGAUGUCGUCGAGGCGAUGACGACCAACGAGACGUUCUUC
rnacentral:misc_RNA from 1 species